rnacentral:lncRNA from 1 species
ACCCCAGAAACAGCAUCCUGGGGCCACCUGGAUCCUCACACAAACUUGCCUGGGCAAAUCGGCGGCUUCACCGAGACCAGGGGAGCAGCCCUCACCUACAGCGGCGCAUCCGAACCCCAGAAAAAGAGGGGGGAAGCCGGAGAAGUUCAGGAUGCGGCCUGGGAGAGGGCCCGCGGUCCUCUUUUCCCAGCCCGCGGGGAUCCCUGGCGAUCAGUCCCAAACUUCUCCACAGCCCCUUGGCGCGCUCAGGUCGCGGCCGGCGAGCACAACCCCCGCCGCCCGCCGCUCUCCGGCCCCGGCCCGCACCUGGGCCGCCUGCUCAGAACUCGGGACCCGAAGCCUUGGGCCUCGCCCCCUCCCUGUUUUAAUUACGUGAUUGAUUUUCGCUUGGGCAGCCUCAGGACGCCUCUGCCUCCGACUGGAUCUUUCGUCUCCCUUUUUGUGUUUCUGAGUCCUCCCGACCGGCUGUCACGGAGGAGACCCUCGGGGCUGUCGGCGCGCCUCGUGCGGCCUGGGUCGGGGUCCCGGGCGGCGGCCUUGCCCCACACGCGCCCGCCGUGGUCCUCGCCGCCACGCGGGGCUCCGCUACUGCGCUCCUGCCCAUUCGCCUUCCUCAAUGAUUUGGUGCUGCAUUCGUCUUCCCCGGUUUGGUUUGUCCCCCUGAAGCCCUGGCCUCAGAGCUGGCCUCUGCGCGUUUGUCUUCCCCGGGGGUGGGGGGGAGGUGUGCAGGGGACACCGAGACUCGAGGAUGCCGCCCCGCCUGGCUGCAGGCUCGCGCCGAGGGGAGCCCCGGGCCCCUUCCCGCAGACACCUGGGCCCCGCGCAGGCGGGCGACCAGCGCCGGGAGGAGCCAAAUCCGCCGUAACUUCAGGCCGCCCGGCGGCUCGUCCCCGGCCGCCGGCCGCAGCCCGCGGAGGGCAAUUGGAUCUGAUGUUCGCUCCGCAGCCCCAGACAGAGGCCCCCUUGCCCUGGCGGCCUCUGCGGGCACCGGGUGGCAGCCUCCCGGGGUGGCUGUGGGCACCCACGCCCAGGAACUCCUGUGCAGCCUCUCCAGCGCAGGGAGCCAAGGUGAGGCGGCGGCAGGGGGAGAGGGGAAGAGUCUCAUUUGGGACAGGACGGGAUUUAGGGUGA